rnacentral:ncRNA from 10 species
AUCGUUCAUCUCAUUUAAUGAAUGAGACGGAAGUAGGUUUAGUUACUGAAGGAACGCGGU